UACGAAGGGGGCUAGCGUUGCCUCGGAAUCACUGGGCGUAAAGCGCACGUAGGCGGAUUGUUAAGUCAGGGGUGAAAUCCUGGAGCUCAACUCCAGAACUGCCUUUGAUACUGGCGAUCUCGAGUCCGGGAGAGGUGAGUGGAACUGCGAGUGUAGAGGUGAAAUUCGUAGAUAUUAGGAAGAACACCAGUGGCGAAGGCGGCUCACUGGCCCGGUACUGACGCUGAGGCGCGAAAGCGUGGGGAGCAAACAGGG
rnacentral:rRNA from 1 species